rnacentral:rRNA from 1 species
CCUACGGGUGGCAGCAGUAGGGAAUUUUCGUCAAUGGAGGGAACCCUGAACGAGCAAUGCCGCGUGAGUGAAGAAGGUCUUCGGAUCGUAAAGCUCUGUUGUAAGAGAAAUACGGGUAUCAUAGGGAAUGAUGAUAUCGUGAUGGUAUCUUACCAGAAAGCCACGGCUAACUACGUGCCAGCAGCCGCGGUAAUACGUAGGUGGCAAGCGAUAUCCGGAAUGAUUGGGCGUAAGGGGUGCGUAGGCGGCAAAAUAAGUCUGAAGUAAAGGGGGUUGGCUAAACAAAAGUAAGCGGUGGAAACUGGUAAGCUAGCGUGCAGGAAAGGCUAGUGGAAUUCGAGGUGUAGCGGUAAAAUGCGUAGAUAUAUGGAGGAACACCAGUGGCGAAGGCGGCUAACUG